GGAGCCAAGAUGUGUCAGAUAGAGAUGACUUGAGGAGAAAUAUACUGGAGGAAGCUCAUGUGGUAUCAGGAUCUGAGGGCCGUAUAUUGGUGGGAAGGGCUUAAGAAACAUGUAGUAGAUUAUGUCUCUCGGUGUUUGAUAUGUCAACAGGUCCAGGUGAAGUAUAAGUGUCACGACCCAAAUUUCAGGCCAUAAUAGGAGCAUGGGCCCAAUGGACAUAACUCACUAAGCCCAAGCAAGCCUAUUUACAUGAUCUGUUCAUUACUCCAUCAAAAUUACUAAAGCCAUAUUUCAUAACUUUGAAUCAAAAUAAUACUAAACAUUGCCAACUCAUAAUGGCAUAUCGAUCAAGUAUAUAUAUAUAUAUAUAUAUAUAUUGUCUAUAACAUGUAUCUUAAUAAUUUACAUCAGGGUUGUCUAUACGUCUCAAAAAGAAGACUCAAUUUUCAACGGAGAGACUCGGAGCAAAUGUACAGCUACUGAAUGCUGAGACACCUACCAAUAGUCGAAUCUACUAGAUCACCUCGACCUAAUUACCGACUACCUUCUGAUCUGAAAACAUGAAGUUGAAAACGGUGAGUAUAAACCCAAUGAGUGAACAAAAAGGGAACAAGCAAACAUUAAGGAAUGUUUAACGAAAUCAUGAUGCAUUCAUUUUCCAAAACAAUGCAAUUUGUUUUAGUUCUUAUUAAACAAGACUUUUCAAGGGUUUUAAAGUGAGAAAGUGAAAGAGCACAAGGGUUCUAGUCAAAAGGGCACAAAGGUAUGAAAAUUAGAGCUAGAGAGAGAAAGUUAUGAAAGUUUCAUAUCAAGCUUCCAUGGAGGAUGGAAGCAACGUGAGAUGGAAGAAGAAGAAGGAGAAAA
rnacentral:lncRNA from 1 species